rnacentral:RNase_P_RNA from 1 species
GAAGCUGACCAGACAGUCGCCGCUUCGUCGUCGUCCUCUUCGGGGGAGACGGGCGGAGGGGAGGAAAGUCCGGGCUCCAUAGGGCAGGGUGCCAGGUAACGCCUGGGGGGGAAACCCACGACCAGUGCAACAGAGAGCAAACCGCCGAUGGCCCGCGCAAGCGGGAUCAGGUAAGGGUGAAAGGGUGCGGUAAGAGCGCACCGCGCGGCUGGUUGGCCUAGAUGAAUGACUGUCCACGACAGAACCCGGCUUAUCGGUCAGUUUCACCUGAUUUAACGAAAACCCGCCAGCGUAAACCGGCGGGUUUUUGCUUUUGGAGGGGCAGAAAGAUGAAUGACUGUCCACGACGCUAUACCCAAAAGAAAGCGGCUUAUCGGUCAGUUUCACCU